rnacentral:rRNA from 1 species
ACGCUCGACACCUACGGCAGCAGUGGGGAAUAUUGCACAAUGGGGGAAACCCUGAUGCAGCAACGCCGCGUGAAGGAAGACGGUUUUCGGAUUGUAAACUUCUGUUCUUAGUGAAGAUAGUGACGGUAGCUAAGGAGCAGCCACGGCUAACUACGUGCAGCAGCCGCGGUAAUCUGAGCGGGCUGGCAAGGC